rnacentral:rRNA from 1 species
CCUACGGGUGGCAGCAGUGGGGAAUAUUGGACAAUGGGCGAAAGCCUGAUCCAGCCAUGCCGCGUGUGUGAAGAAGGCCUUCGGGUUGUAAAGCACUUUCAGUGGGGAAGAAAGCCUUGGGGCUAAUACCCUCGAGGAAGGACAUCACCCACAGAAGAAGCACCGGCUAACUCCGUGCCAGCAGCCGCGGUAAUACGGAGGGUGCGAGCGUUAAUCGGAAUUACUGGGCGUAAAGCGCGCGUAGGCGGUCUGAUAAGCCGGUUGUGAAAGCCCCGGGCUCAGCCUGGGAACGGCAUCCGGAACUGUCAGGCUAGAGUGCAGGAGAGGAAGGUAGAAUUCCCGGUGUAGCGGUGAAAUGCGUAGAGAUCGGGAGGAAUACCAGUGGCGAAGGCGGCCUUCUGGACUGACACUGACGCUGAGGUGCGAAAGCGUGGGUAGCAAACAGGAUUAGAUACCCUUGUAGUC